rnacentral:rRNA from 1 species
AGCGAACGCUGGCGGCAGGCCUAACACAUGCAAGUCGAACGAACUCUUCGGAGUUAGUGGCGGACGGGUGAGUAACACGUGGGAACGUGCCUUUAGGUUCGGAAUAACUCAGGGAAACUUGAGCUAAUACCGAAUGUGCCCUUCGGGGGAAAGAUUUAUCGCCUUUAGAGCGGCCCGCGUCUGAUUAGCUUGUUGGUGAGGUAAUGGCUCACCAAAGCGACGAUCAGUAGCUGGUCUGAGAGGAUGACCAGCCACAUGGGGACUGAGACACGGCCCAAACUCCUACGGGAGGCAGCAGUGGGGAAUCUUGCGCAAUGGGCGAAAGCCUGACGCAGCCAUGCCGCGUGGAUGAUGAAGGUCUUAGGAUUGUAAAAUCCUUUCACCGGUGAAGAUAAUGACUGUAGCCGGAGAAGAAGCCCCGGCUAACUUCGUGCCAGCCGCCGCGGUAACAC